CAAAGAACAGAAGCAAACCAAAGAGCAAACAUGAAGGCUAAGCUCCUUAUUCUUAUCGCUCUCGUCGCUGCCUGUGUCUCGACAACUGAAGCCUGCAUGGGGAAGGCUCCAGAUUAUGACUGGCUGGAAGAUAGGUCUCUGAAAGAAGAGUGCCCGUCCGUCAGUAACUGCACAAGCGACGCUGACUGUGGCAAGUGCAAAUGUGUGCCAAAUAGCGGCACCAAUAAAGGCUACUGUGUAUUUCUUCCGAACGAAUAAUACUCAAUAAAACUUGUGCUGAUUUUUCAAGUCG